CCUGCACCUAGAGGCACUGCAGGUGUGACUGCUGUGUCACAUGUGCGUCAGUAGGUGACAGAGAGGAGAGAAGCCAUGUCUACACUCAGUGUUCUGACCUGAGAACAUCUGAAUGUUAGUAGCCUGACAUA